AUGCUUUAGCAGCACAGAUACUAAAAUUGGACUGAUAUACAGGUGAGCAUGGCCCCUGUGCAAGGAUGGCAUGCAAAUUUGUGAAGCAUUCCAUGGGAAA
rnacentral:snRNA from 1 species